UUCUGAUGGACAACACCUUAAACAAUCAUUGGACUGACUUUUUUGGGUUGUUACAACCGAGAUGGUGGGAUGAUCAGAACUUAGCUGAAAGGAUGAUCUCUGAAAGAUCAAUUCAAAAGAACAAGAUCAGAAGAUACUGUUGACUUAUUUAAAGAUAAUGUUGGCUAAGCCAAUUAAUAUAAUGUUGUUGGUUUAUCCGUAGGUUCUGCUGACUUGGAAAUGGAAUGUAAUCUGAACUCAAGGCUAAUAUUUUUUCCUGUUUCUUACAACUAACCAAAGUUAUCUGUCAUACUAAAGUAGCCAAUUUAUCCAUUAUGCUAAAGUUUAAAAAACCUUUUCACUAAUAAACUAGUUGCUAUUUUCAGAUUCCAACCGUUUUAUUCAACGUGUAGUUGACCUCGACUACAAUUCAGACAGAAUUGUUAGUUGGUUAACGGUGUGUAAAAACCUUAAUCAAUUGUAUUGCUCUCUUAAAAAUCCUAUAAAACGUUAUAGAUUAUGAAAGUCUUAUAAAAGCCAUUAAAAAACUUUUAUUAACCAUACCUUUUAAAAAACUGCAUUUGUACUGAACUCAAAAUUACUAUUUUUUCAGUUAUCUUAAUCAUUAUUACCAUUAUUUCAAUAAUCAGUGACCUAAAAAAAGCGUCUUUUGAACGUUUAAAAAGAGUCCAAAACAUUCAAAAGACGCUCAAAAGACGUCCACAACGUUCCAUAUCAACUGGGAUAUUUGCUAUUCUCACUAAUACAUUAAAAAAAUCUUAUCUCAGGUAUAUCCGUAAAUUCAUCUUAAGAAAAAACUAUGAACUUGUCUAAACCAAAAAUUAAAAAGUGAAAGUGGUUUAGAAGGUUUAAUAUAAAAAGCGGAAACUUAA